AUUGAACGCUGGCGGCAGGCCUAACACAUGCACGUCGCGCGGAGCGGCGGACGGGUGAGUAAUGCCUAGGAAUCUGCCUGGUAGUGGGGGAUGACGUCGGGAAACGGGCGCUAAUACAGCAUACUAUCAGAUGAGCCUAGGUCGGAGUAGCUAGUUGGGGGGGUAAAGGCCUACCAAGGCGACGAGCAGUAACUGGUCGGAGAGGAUGAUCAGUCACAAUGGAACUGAGACACGGUCCAGACUCCUACGGUAGGCAGCAGUGGGGAAUAUUGGACAAUGGGCGAAAGCCUGAUCCAGCCAUGCCGCGUGUGUGAAGAAGGUCUUCGGAUUGUAAAGCACUUUAAGUUGGGAGGCGUUACCAACAGAAUAAGCACCGGCUAACUUCGUGCCAGCCGCCGCGGUAAUUC
rnacentral:rRNA from 1 species